UACGUAGGGGGCAAGCGUUGUCCGGAGUACUGGCGUAAAGCGCACGCAGGCGGUCUCGUUAAGUUUGGAGUGACAGUUGGUGGCUUAACUGCCAAAGUGCUUCGAAAACUGAGAGACUUGAGGGCUUCAGAAGGGACACGGAAUUCCGGGUGGAGUGGUGAAAUGCGUAGAGAUCCGGAGGAACACCAAAGGCGAAGCAGUGUCCUGGGGAGUACCUGACGCUCGAGGUGACGGAAAGCCAGGGAGCGAACGG
rnacentral:rRNA from 1 species